rnacentral:rRNA from 1 species
CUUUACUGUAGCUUGGAAUUGAGUUUGGGUUUAUUUUGCGCAGUAUAGGUGGGAGGCUAAGAUAGUAAGCUUGAGGGUUUAUUGGAGCCAAUAGUGAGAUACCACUCUAAGUAAACUAGAAUUCUAACCUUGAUAGUCGUUAACCGGCCAAGGAACAGUUUCAGGUGGGCAGUUUGACUGGGGCGGUCGCCUCCUAAAAGGUAACGGAGGCGUGCAAAGGUUCCCUCAGGCUGGUCGGAAAUCAGUCGUAGAGUGUAAAGGCAUAAGGGAGCUUGACUGCAAGACCUACAAGUCGAGCAGAGACGAAAGUCGGCCUUAGUG